rnacentral:rRNA from 1 species
GUGACGCCUGCCCGGUGCUUGAAGGUUAAUUGAUGGGGUUAGCGCAAGCGAAGCUCUUGAUCGAAGCCCAAGUAAACGGCGGCCGUAACUAUAACGGUCCUAAGGUAGCGAAAUUCCUUGUCGGGUAAGUUCCGACCUGCACGAAUGGCGUAACGAUGGCCACACUGUCUCCACCCGAGACUCAGUGAAAUUGAAAUCGCAGUGAAGAUGCUGUGUAUCCGCGGCUAGACGGAAAGACCCCGUGAACCUUUACUAUAGCUUCACAGUGAACUUUGAACCUACUUGUGUAGGAUAGGUGGGAGGCUUUGAAGCGGUGACGCCAGUUACCGUGGAGCCACUCUUGAAAUACCACCCUGGUAUGUUUGAGGUUCUAACUCAGGUCCGUAAUCCGGAUCGAGGACACUGUGUGGUGGGUAGUUUGACUGGGGCGGUCUCCUCCCAAAGAGUAACGGAGGAGCACGAAGGUGUGCUCAGCAUGGUCGGAAAUCAUGCAUAGAGUGUAAAGGCAAAAGCACGCUUAACUGCGAGACAGACACGUCGAGCAGGUACGAAAGUAGGUCUUAGUGAUCCGGUGGUUCUGUAUGGAAGGGCCAUCGCUCAACGGAUAAAAGGUACUCCGGGGAUAACAGGCUGAUACCGCCCAAGAGUUCA